UAUGAGAGGAUGAGGUGGCAAAAUGAUUUUAUUAUGCCAUUUAAAAAUGGGAAGUGAUUUACCAUGCAACUUAAAUAUUUUGACUAUCAUUACAGCAACUCUGUAAGUAAUUAAUUCUGGCACCAUACUUUACAAAGAGCUUUGACAAAUUGGAGCCCAUCCAGAGGAGAACAUACAAUCCUGUGAAGGGUCUGGAAACUACAACUUGUAAGGAAUGAUGCAAAGAGAUGAAGGAAUCAUUGUAACAUAACAAUGGUCAGGAAGUCCCCUGCUCCCAUGCCCAGAAUUGACCUACAGUCCUCAAUCCAAUAAUCUCAAGCCCAGAUGAUUACCACUCACAUGGAAGGGAAUCCAGAGGCAACAAGGAAGGAGUGCAAAAACUAAUAAUAAUAAUAAUAAAAGAAACCACCAAGCCCACCUUUCCAUUGCAGAGUUUAGCCAGAACUGAGAUGGGAUGAAUAAAAUGAGAACAGCUUGCAUAUUGAAGUACAUAUUAAAGUUUGUAUAUUUUACAAAGGAUUCUUCCUUAUUCCUUUUCUAUUUAUCCAAACCCCACCUACUCUUGUUUUAUUACUUGGAAAUGAGAUUGACUAUAACAUGACAAGCUGUGGAGUCUGCCUGAAAUUUCACCUAAGGCAAGGGAAGAACAAUUCAGCAGAAUAGGUUUAAAGCGACAGGAAUGAAGAAUAAAGGUGUUUUCUGCUUGCUUUUAACAAGUCCAAUUUAUUUAAUAAAGCGUGGUAUUGUGUUAGUGUUUAUGCACACAUUCUGCAAUUAGUACUUUGGAGCUCAUAACUGCAUUUCUCCAAAUAACUGCAAUGAUGCCUUAUGUUUAUAUUAACAACUUAUAUGUGUCAGACAUUGUGCUAAAUACUUUUACAAGCAUUAUUCCAUUCGAGUUUAGUGAUCAUCUUAAGAAAUUCAUUAAAACUAUUUUAUAGUUAAGGAAACAAAGCCUAGGUUAAAUAAGUUGAGUAAGAUCACACAGAAAAUGGCGGAGGCAGAACCUGAGCUCACGUAGCCUGUCUGCAAAGCCUAAAUUCUUAUUCAAUAGGCUUCCCUCGUAAAACAUUGGACUAGGCAUUAUAUAAAAUAAUCAAAUAGUUAAUGUUUUUAAUGUCUAUGCCUAUGCCAAUAUCCAUUUUUAUAAUAUUGUUUUCCAUUUUAAAUAUUCAGAAAUGGUCACAUUUUCUAUUUUUAUCUAGGUGGCAGGAAUGGAAUUUUCUGCAAUGAAGGAAAUGAUCUAUAUCUGUGCUGAUUGACAUAGCAGUCAGUAGCCACAUGUGACUGCUGAGCACUUAAAUGUGGCUGGUGCAGUGGAGGAACUAAAUUUUUACUUUAAUUUUAUUUAAAUUUAUUUAACUUGAAACUUAAAUGGUCAUGUGGGGCUAGUGGCUAUCACAUUGGAAUAACCAAAGAUAAUACUGCAGGCCUAUCUUGGCCUGUCUGUCUAUUGGCAAAUCCAGGUAUACUAUAUAUCACACACCCUUAAUAGAGACUCUAGAUUACCUGAAAAAUAAAGUUCUAGAUUAAGGAGGGGGUAAGUGACUCAUUUCAGCCAAAAAUCCUCCCCCCAAAAAUCUACCUAAUAUCUAGGAUGACACCAAAAGUUUCAAAGAUUGCUUUGGAUAUAGGGAUUUGGAUUUCCAAUAUAUUUUAGGAUGUUCUCACAGAAUCCAAGCUGAUGGACGUUUUUAUAUCACCAAAGUGAUUGUCAUAAAACCUUUUUUUCAAAAUUAAAAAAAGGAAUAACUUCCCAGUGGUUAGACUUAGAUUGAGCUAAAUAUUUACUAUCUAAUAAUCAAGACACUUACCAACAGCUAGAACAUUCACUUGUUCUAGGCAACAUUUUAAGACUGACAUUCUGAAAACAACUUAAAAGACAAUCAAGACAAAGAAGGUUCUGAAAAGAUGGUCAUAUGAGAGGACAUGGAAUUGUUAGCCAAAAGAGAAGGCACAGAUGUCGUAUAGGUGCUACUCUUAAGCAAUUGAAUGCUUGUCACAGAGGAGGAGAGUCUUAUUCUAUGCUAUCCAAAGAGAAGGACUGAGAUCAAAAGAGAGGACUUGGGAAAUAGGAAACCCCAAUGUAAGCAAGAGCAGGAAGUUGAGCUAUUCGGCAGAAUUCACUAUUUAAGUAGUGCACUCCAGCCACUAAUUAUGUUCAAACAGAUUGCAGAAAAUUUAAAAUUAUAGUUAAAAUG